GGGCGUUCGCCCCCCGGAAGGCAGCAGGGGCGGUUGAGAAGUGAAGUCUUGGCCGGAGUUUGCUUCUUGCCAGGAAAUUGGUGGCUGUGGCGGCAGCGAGCCCCGGCAGAGCGGCUCCCGGCUCGUCCUUCAGCGGGCCACAGAAGGCGGGAGCUGGCGCUGGGCUGCGGCGCCGGGAGCCCGUGCUCGCCCCGGGCGGCCGCGCUUUCCCAAAAAAGGGACCUUGGCUGUCGUCAGCUACAUCUCCGUCUAUUAAAGGGAACCAAACCUCCGACCUAUGAGGAUACAGAGACCGUGUGGGUGUGAGCCAGCAUGGGAACGACCAGCGAGGAGAUGUCUGUGGAGCAGACCUCCUCUUCCUCUUCCCUGAACCCCCUGUGCUUUGAGUGUGGCCAGCAGCACUGGACCAGAGAAAACCACUUGUACAAUUACCAGGAUGAGGUGGACGAUGACCUUGUUUGCCACAUCUGCCUCCAGCCCUUGCUGCAGCCGCUGGACACCCCCUGUGGACACACAUUCUGCUACAAGUGCCUCCGGAACUUCUUACAGGAGAAAGACUUUUGUCCAUUGGACCGGAAAAGACUUCACUUCAAGUUGUGUAAGAAGUCCAGCAUUCUAGUUCAUAAACUUCUAGACAAAUUAUUAGUUUUAUGUCCAUUUUCUUCAGUGUGCCAAGAUGUGAUGCAACGCUGUGAUUUGGAGGCACAUCUUAAAAACAGAUGUCCUGGAGCUUCUCAUCGGAGAGUUGCCCUAGAGAAAAGAAAAACUAGUAAAACUCAGACGGAGAUUGAAAGUGAAAGUGGAUCCAGUGUGAUAGAUCCUCCAGGUACUUUGUCCCCAGAAACAGACUGCUUAGGGCUGGGGACAGGCACAGUGCCCAACGAGCGGAGCUCAGCGUUAGUGUGUCUUCCCAUCUGUCCGGAGGAGCCUGGCCUGGACAACCCUGCCUUCGAGGAGAGCGCUGGAGCCGACACUACGCAACAGCCUCUUAGUUUACCAGAAGGAGAAAUUACCACCAUUGAAAUCCACAGAUCUAAUCCAUACAUUCAGUUAGGAAUUAGCAUCGUGGGUGGCAAUGAGACACCACUCAUUAACAUUGUCAUCCAGGAGGUCUACAGAGAUGGGAUCAUCGCCAGAGAUGGGAGACUGCUUGCUGGAGACCAGAUUCUUCAGGUCAACAACUAUGACAUCAGCAAUGUGUCUCAUAACUAUGCCCGAGCUGUGCUUUCCCAGCCGUGCACCACACUGCACCUCACUGUGCUGCGGGAGCGGCGCUUUGGCAGCCGGGCACAUGCCCAUUCCGACGGCAGCUCUGCCCGGGAGGAGGUCUUCCACGUGGUUCUUCAUAAACGGGACUCUGGUGAACAGCUUGGCAUUAAGUUGGUUCGAAGGACAGAUGAGCCCGGUGUGUUUAUCCUGGACCUGCUGGAAGGGGGCCUGGCAGCCCAGGACGGCAGGCUGUGCAGCAAUGAUCGGGUGCUGGCCAUCAACGGGCAUGACCUGAAGCACGGGACACCGGAGCUGGCCGCCCAGAUCAUCCAGGCCAGCGGGGAGAGAGUGAGUUUAACAAUCGCUAGACCGGGGAGACCCCAGCCGAGUGGCACCAUCCGGGAGGCAGGAACUCACAGCAGCAGCCAGCACCAUGCCCAGCCCCUGUCUCAGAACAGACCGAGCUCUCAUAAGGAUCUUACUCAGUGUGUUACAUGCCAAGAAAAACACAUUACUGUGAAGAAGGAGCCGCAUGAGUCCCUCGGGAUGACAGUGGCUGGAGGCAGAGGAAGUAAGAGUGGUGAACUGCCCAUCUUUGUGACCAGCGUGCCCCCUCACGGCUGCCUCGCACGAGAUGGCAGAAUUAAGAGAGGUGAUGUGCUGCUGAACAUCAACGGCAUCGACCUGACCAACCUGAGUCACAGCGAGGCUGUCGCUAUGCUGAAGGCCAGUGCCGCCUCCUCGGCUGUUGCCCUCAAGGCGCUAGAGGUCCAGAUUGUCGAGGAGGCCACUCAGACCUCGGAGGAGUUGCCAAGUACUUUCAGUGAGAAUGAGUACGACGCGAGUUGGUCCCCAUCAUGGGUUAUGUGGCUUGGGCUUCCAAGUGCCCUUCACAGCUGCCAUGACAUAGUUCUACGAAGAAGCCACCUGGGAAGCUGGGGCUUCAGCAUUGUUGGUGGAUACGAAGAGAACCACACCAAUCAGCCUUUCUUCAUUAAAACCAUUGUCCUGGGAACUCCUGCUUACUACGACGGGAGGUUAAACAAAGGAACUUCCUCAGAGGCUUCGCCUCAAGUCUUGUGCUGGUUCUGCAGUUAUUCUCUUGGCCGCAACCUUCAAAUGAACUUCAGGAUCCAGGGAUGUAUCUGGCCCACAGCAGGUGAUUGUCUCUUCCAAGGCUGCAAGGUAUCUGAACUUCUGCUCUGGCUCCCAGCCCUGUCUGCCUGCCUGUAAUAUUUCUAACUCGAUCAGCUGCCUGUAAUGUGGAGCCCCUGACAGGAGUCUGCAGUCCACUUGAGGAUUUACAGCCUGCCUUUGCUUUUGUCUGCCUGUUGCACCUCUGCCUCCCUAUUUGCCACCACCUGAUGUUUAGGCAGCCGAGGAAAAACAACUAAUAAUUCCCAUGGGCAGACGCUGCAGAUGAAGCAGCCCCUCGUGGAAAGGUGCUGCCUCGCGAAUUUCUGACCUGCCUCAGCCCUUAAUUUGUGUACUGCUGCUUCAUGAUAAAAACAGUGUCCAGUGAACUAUUAUUUUCACACGCUUAAAGAUGAGACUUCCUGCUUCUAAGAAGUAAAUGCAGGAGAGGGAGUCUUAGAAAUGCCAGUACCACAGGAUGUGGAGGCGCAGGACUGAUCACUGUGAGUUCAAGGCCAGACUGGACUACGUAGUGAGACCUUAUCUCAAAAGGACAAAAAAAAAGUCCAGUACAUUUGACAAGAAUGUCCACACCCAGCUGUGCACACAAGCCAGCCUUUCUGGUAAAGAAAAGUCAGUGCCUCCUGUGAGCCUACUGGCACUGGCUGAGAACCAACCCCCACCCUCCAGCAACCGAUGUUUCAGAGGACAGGCUGAGCUGAUAGCAACUGAGGUCCUGUGGAUGUUCUUAAAGGCGGAUGUGGAAACCUGGACAGUGUCCAAGGGGAGAUCUGCAAGGCUCGUCCUUAGGCAAGACUGCAAAACAGCGCACUUUUGACCUGGAACGACUUGGAUCACAUACUCAGUGGGAGCAGCCUCUCCAGUCACAGAGUAAAAGGAAACACCAGCUACAAUGGGGUGAGGAUUGUGAUAUGCUUUGUAAACUAGAAGAAUGCGUCCAGGUAUGAUGGAUUAUUUUACGCUCCUACACGGUUCUCUGUUCCUGUUCCUUGUGUAAUGCAUAACUCUAGUCAUCAGCAAGCCAGCGCAGAGCCCUGGCAAGCACCCGCUCCUCUAGCAGCCUCCUGCCUCUGCAGCUGCUAAGCUUGUGCUGCUGACCAUGGCCGAGGACUGCCGCACUGGCAGAGCUCCACUCUAAGGCAGCCUUCUGAUGCCUGCCAGGGAGUUGGAGACGAAGGUCCUGGCACACACCAAACUGACAUCCUAGAGCUGUUAACCGGUGAGUGUCGUGACCCCAGCCCAGCAAGAGCCCAGCAUAGAAGCAAGAGGCUCAGGCCAGCUUGCUCUGGAGAAGGAGAAGAGAUUGUUGUUUUACCUCUAGGCGAAAUUCAAGCCCCUGUUGACUGGUUCUCUGCCAAUAGUGAGAAUUCCAUUUCCAGUAGCCCUGAGUUAGUCCAGCUGGGGAUUACUAGGAAUAUGAAAACCACAAGAAUGAAAACGGAAAGCAGGCAGAUGGCACUGCAGGGGCGGAGAGGUUUGGGCACAAAGCUUUGGGAAAAGUAAGCUAAACAGAAGACAGAGCUGAGCUGUGAACUGUGCUCCAUGAUGAAGGGAGGACCUGCACGAUGAGGGCUACUGUGUUGCCAGCCUGCAGGGAGAUGGCUGAUUAGAGCCUUUCUUAGAAGCUUUCUGGAACCGUUGGCAGACUGAACCACCAAUCCUAAAAUCAAGAGAGAGCAGGCAUUUGUGCUGGGCAUCAGAGACAGGGAAAACACUGCCUUUCCCACCCACAUCCUGCCUCAGGGUAGGAUGGAUAUACAAAGAUCUGGCGGGAACUUGGGAAAGAAGAUUCCAGAAAUUUGUCCUUAGGUAAUCUCUGAUUCAUAUCGGGUCAGUGGAAAACAUAGAUACCAGGCCACCACUUUUUCUGCAAGUUCAUUCAAAUAGGAACACUAAAAGACAGCUUUACAAACCUUGACUCCACAGCUAAUAAUGGAGUAAGAGGGAAAAAGACCAACAAAUAAAUAAGAACGUAUAUUAGAAUUCAUUCACCAGCUUUCCCCAUUUACUUUCAGGGAACAGCAUCCUGAAAAAGCUGCACAUCGGAAAUCAUCAUCCACACUGAUUUUCACAGGAUAAUUUUGGCAUCUGGGAGAUGAUGGGGUUGGAUAAGGUCUCCACAGGGCACUGGGCUGUCCUGGUGCCCUCUGACUCUGGAUGGGAGGUGUCUUACACACAGCGCCUCCCGGGCUUAUUUAUGACAAAGUGGUCCCACAGAUCAGAGGCUCCUGGGAGAACAGAUGUUGUGGUGGCAUCCCGGUAUAUGAUGAGCAGCUGGCCUGCCGGUCAGAGCAUCCUAAUUCUUUUUCUCACUCAUUUUACUCUGCUAAAACUUUAAAGAAUAGACUGGAAGGGAGCCUGUAGGUUCAGGGCUCUGUAAUCCUUUGUUUCUUGGCCCUGCUGGUGGCUUCAUAGCUGUAUUCACUUUGUGAUGGACAUUUAUGACCUAUAUUUAUAUUUAUACAUGCUAUAUCUCAAUAAGUUGUUCACUUUUUUAUGUUUUGUUUUGCUUGUUUGUUUUGUUCUGUGUCUUAGCAGUAAUGGGGAUUGAAUUCCAGACCCUACAAUGCUGAGUAAGUGCUCGACCACUGAGCUAUCUGUAUUUCCAGCCCGAUUGUCUGCAUUUAUAAUGUCAUAAAAUAUCAUACUCCUUAAUUGUCUUUCAGGUUUUAAAACUUAAAAUACAUCUGAGAAUUUAUAUAGAGGGGUGAUCCAACCAAAAGUCCUGGGGCUCCCUGUGUCACAGGGCUCGAUGGCCUUGCCUGGGAGCAGUAGCAGCAGCAGCUUCCUUCUGACUGUGUGAUGCUCUCUCUCCUGGUGGAGGAGACCCCCACACUCAGGGAAUCAAGACAGAUGCUGGCAUAUUCCUCUGCAUCCUGUGUCUGCUCCUCGGCCAGAGCAUCAGGCCUGACCGCCCUGUGGUAGAAUGCAGCACAUCUAAACCAUAUUCUGCCACUUCUGAGCUCCCUGGACAGCCCAUUAUGUCAGAGAGGCUCAGAGGACCCAUUCAGAGAUCAGCAACUUCCUGGAGAAGUCACCUGAAGUGUUUGGCCACCUCUUACUUCUUGUAGCACCAAAUUUAAAAGAGAAAUUUCUUUCUAGCCCAGCAUGGUGACACUUGGCUGUUAUCCCAGCACCGUGGUAGGCUGAGGCAGGAGGGCUGGAAAUUCAAGCCAAACCUAGGGGUCAACUCAGCACCUUCGUGAGACCCUGUUUCAAAUUUUUAAAAGGGAUGGGGACAGAGCCCUGUGAAAAGGCCCUGCUUUCAAUCUCCGAUGCUGAAGAAGAUUUUUUUUUAGUUUUCUUUAUUGUGUAGAUUAAUUUCAUAUCAUAUUUAAAGAAAUUAUAAAAAUAAAAAUAGUGCACAUGGGGAGGAACGGUACUUUCCUAGGGAGGCAAGUCGGGGGGGACGAGUUGCCAGGUGACAUGUGGCUGUCAGCAUGGGGCUGCUGACCCUCCCCCCCCCCCAGGCUUCGGGAACAGGGCUGAGUGUUGGCAUUCUUCAUUAACCUCCAUCUCACAGUCUCAACCAGUGAUAAAGUCUGUGACUCAAGGCGCCGUCACAGCCAACCCGCUCUUAUUUUUGCAGACUCAGAGCUGAGUUUCUUUACUUUCCACAUGUAUUUAUCUACAUCCUCACUGGCCACAUGGAUUUCCACACCAUGUGGGCCUUGUUCCCUGGGCUUUCGCCUUGAGGACAUGGAGGCUGCCCAGAAUAAUAAAGGAGACACUGAUCCCAGAGCUGGAGCAGAAUGGAUUUAGCUCAAGGUGCCCAAUAGUCCUUCCCGGAGGAAGCAGAGCUGCUUAGAAACAGGAAGUCAGCUGUGAAAAUGACCUUGCUGCCCCUUUCUACAACUAGGAAAGAGCAGGAUGCCCCCUGCCUCGUGGGGAGGCGCUGGGGAGUGGGAUGGUGCAGGGGUAGAGUCAUUUGCUCCCAGCACUGCCUUGGGGAGACCCGGCCCCCAGGACAGGCCCUGAGCCAGGUGCUCACAGUUGUGGAUAGGGCCUGAGUUCCAGGCCACCUCCACCUGUAAGGUGCGGCUCCUUCCCUCCGAGUACUGGUGCAUCCUCCCUCCUGGGCAGUUUACUCAGGACACGUGUGCUGAUAAUCCUGCAGUAUUGGUUAGGUCCCUGCUGUACUUUGCUGAGGACACCAUGGUGAGCAAGAGGAGACUUUCUCCCUGGAGCCAACAGGAGCCCAGGAGCUGCACACGCAUAAGGAGCCUCAGCAGGAGACUAAUUCCAGUCCACAGUCUACAAGACGCUUCUUUGAGAAAAACACAAGACAGGUGGUGGGGGCCAUCUCAGAUGGAAGGAAGGGGCACACACUGUCUGGAGAGAGAGGGCCUGGGUACAUUCCCAGAAGCUCAGUUUGUCGGGUUUCUUUGGUGAGUUUUGUUUUAUUUUAGAGAUGGUCUUACUAUGUAGCCCUGGCUGAACUUACAGUGAUCCUCCUGCCUCAGCCUCCUAACGUGCUAGGACUUUUAUAUAUGACAGAUGAAUUUCUUCAUUUCCAAAACAUGUAUAUCUUAUUUUUCUUUUCUUACUGCUCUAGACCUUGCAUAUAGUGUUGACUAAAACAUUUUGGAUUUUCUUAAAUAUCGAUCUUUUUUUUAAAGAGGCAGGGCAGAAUAUAUUUAUUAGGGAAAGAAAACUUCUGUCUGAGAGAGACAGAUGGAGUUCCUAGUGGGUCACCCCAAAAUCCAUCAUUUUAAUGAUGAUACAUCAGAUGCAUUUCCCUAAAAAAUCAAGAAUAAGACAAGAAUGCUUGAUAUUAGGGCUUUGGCUCUCACUGGGCUGGUCAUAUAUCGUUGCCUGCCCUAACCAUGGUGCUUGCUGCAGGAAAGGGCAUGUGACCAGAGGUGGCCCAUCUGUCGUGUUCCAUAAGAUCUGUCAAGCUGGAUCUAAAGAGAAUACUCUGCUCUCCUCUGUUUGGAAAACUGUAAGAAUUUAUCCAGAAACACCAAUUCCAUAUCCUCUGAAGAACGUCUGCUUCCAGAAAUAGCUUCCUUUGUUUCCAUCAACCUCAAUUUUCUCCCCAGGGAAAUUAGAGUCAUUUUACCUCAUGGCUUGCUACGAAUAUUAAAUAACAUCAUGGUUAGAAUGGUUAACACAAAGACACUACUACCUGCUAAUUUUGCUAGCAUUGUGUUUUGAAGUGUUAGCAUUAUGCCAUGAACAUUGCUAAUGUUGUGAACAAGAUUAUUCUACAUUUUCAGUCUUGUAUUCUCCUUUCUCUCGCAUAGUAUCAUCAUCAUCAUCAUCACACACACACACACAGAGAAAAUUGUAAAAGAUAUAGUCAUCCUGCUGACUGUUUAAUUUUUUUAGUCCACGUUUGCAAUACACAGUCAUUAGGUCCUUGUGGGGAGCUGGAACAUUAAAAUAACACAUCUUAAUUCUUUUUACUUCCCCGUCCCCUCUUCUCCUUCCCCUCUCCAUCUCUUGGCUUCUGACUUAGUAACUUAGGGAAGCGGCAAAUAUGAUUCUCUUUAUUACAUAUCGGGAGAUAAGAAAUGUGUAUAAUUAAGUUUUUGUUAGUGGUUUUGAGCACUACAAUUUGUAGAUGCAUGACAUGAUUUAUUGUGCUGAUUACUUCCACUGCUAAGGAUCUGCUUUCAGGGAGCCAACUCCAGUUUAUAUAUAUAUUUCAAUUAUUAUUCUUUUUAAUGCAAGUGAAAUAAAAUUUACCUUCCUACCUAUUGCAAGAAAGUUUUUCUUUUUAAAUACGCAGUCGGCAGUAUUAAGUGCAGCACAAAUGACUGCGCAGCCCUCGUUACGAUUGAUCUCCAGAACCUUUUCAUCUUGCAAAACUAAAGCUCCAUGCCCAUGAAAAAUUAAUUCUCCAUGUCUCCUCCUUCCAGCCCCUUACAACCAGUGUUGCACCUUCCUUCUCUAUGAACUCAACUACUCAACCUGCUUCACUGCUGUAGUUUGGAUCUUAAGUGUUCCCAAAAGUGCAUGCAGUAAAACGUUGGUCCCCAGCCUAGGAGAGUUUGGUGGUGGAAACACAAGAGGCGAGGCCCAGCGGGACGUCUUUAGGUGGCUGUGGGCCACAAAGCACUGUGGGGUCUCCAUCUCUUUCUCUUUUUCCCUUCCUGGUCCUGAGGCAAGUGGCUGGCUCCACCCUGUGUUCCCACCAUGAUGUGCCAUCUUAGGCCUAAAACCACCCUGGGCCAAUUACCCAUGGACUGGACUCCCCCAAACUAUAAGCCAAAGUAAACCUUUCUGCUUUAUAAGUUGAUGGUCUCAGAUAUUUGCUAUGUGUUGGGAGGCUGACUUACUCAUGUAAGUGAAAGCAUGUAAUACCUGUUUUUCUGUGACUGCCUUCUUUCUUAGCACAAUGCCCUUAAACUUCACCCACAAUGUCAGAUUUCUCUCCCUUUCCAAGGCCAAAUAACGUGCCAUGCUCCACUCUUUGUUUACUCUCCAUCCUUGUCCAUAUGAUUCAUUAGACAGCAGUUCUAUACCUCCAGCACAAGCCCUUCCAGCUACUAAUACACAAGUCUGCUUGGUUGGAGGCCUGGGAUACAGGAAAACCCUUUAUUUACAGCCUGGCCUGUUUACACAUAGCAAGUAUCUGAGACCUUCAACUUAUAAAGUGGAAAGGUUUACUUUGGCUUAUAGUUUGGGGGGAGUCCAGUCCAUGAGUAAUUGGCCCAGGGUGGUUUUAUGCCUAAGAUGGCACAUCAUGGUGGGAACAUAGGGUGGAGCCAGCCACUUGCCUCAGGACCAGGAAGGGAAAAAGAGAAAGAGAUGGAGACCCCACAGUGCUUUGUGGUCCACAGCCACCUAAAGACUUCCCACUGGGCCUCGCCUCUCGUGUUUCCACCUCCAGCCCAUGGGGUCUGCUGUGCCCCUCAACAAACAGGACACUACUGAAGACAAUCAGUGGAUUCCCAAAGAGAUGUGGGCACGUGACCAUAUGCUUGCCUAAUACACAGGGAUAAACAGAAAACAGUGAAUAAAGAAAUGAUAUUCACAAGUGUUUUAAAACCAGAACGCUAAUUUAAAAAUCUAUCCAAAGGUGGCCUUGGAGAGGGGAAGGACACAGUUGUGUAAUCCUAUGUCCACAGUGCUCAUCACAGCCUGUCCCUAAACCAUGUCUCAAUGCCCCAGGCCUGAGCACAAAAGGGCAGAGCAGACAUUUCCCACCUCAGAAAAUCCCAUCCAGUCUGGUGCUUUGGUGCUUGGGGAACUUGAUGUUUGUGAGAAUUAGUCAGCAAAGGGACUUGGUCCCUGGUGUCAUGGUCCCUAAGUCACCCAGCGCUGGCCAUUGAGGAGGAAGGGCCUCCUGGGGAGAUUCCUUCCCCUCAGUGCUAUCUCUUGCAACCCCAGCCAGAUGUUCACAGAUGGGUUUCUAACCACGGGGAUGGAGUUUUCUAAUGGAAAUCCCGGCAGCCCUUUACUUAGAGUAGCUCUGGUGGGCACUACUCUAAUUAUUCAAUUGCCUAAUUCCAUUUAUCUUUCAUGAUCCAUUAUGCUCCCCUCACAAGCUGCAUCUUCCUUAGCGGAUACAUAACCGAGUCUAAUGGACUCUGGGUGAAGCCAGCUAUGUAGACUAAAGGAUUUAGCUGCUACCUAAUUCUACUAAACUGUUAUUUUAUAAAUGAACAAGGCAGACAGACACAUUUUAUGCUUUAAGAUAAAUAUUUUAUGAAUUGGCCCUCUGAUACAUUACCUUGUUAGUACAUUACCGUUCAUCCCUCCUCAGGCUUGAAGAGCCUGGGCCGACACUCAGGAGUACAUUUGGGGGAUUUUAUUGAAUGAGAUGCUUUUAAAGUCUGUUUGUAUCUAUGGAAAAAAAGAAGUAAUUUCAUCACAUGAAAAGGAAAAGUUCUUUAAAUGUUGAUUUUCUAUUCCAGUGUGAAAGUCAUUAUCCAGGGAUUUUUUUUUUUUUUUAUUUAACCAAGGGUCCAGAUCCUACUUACAAAAAAUCAGUGUAUCUUCCUCUCUGUGCACUCAGGAAACACAACACUAGGAAGAGUUUGAAGCAUUCUAGAAGGGAAACCUUUACUCAUCUAAAGAACAAAGCAUCGUAGAAAGUCAGUCUUUCUUUUGACUUUUAAAGGAGACACAGUUUAUAAUACAAUAGCCUAUUUCUCCUUCAAUAUGCUUGCAUUUUUAAAAAAUUUUUCCCCUAGGGUGUUUUAACCUGUGGUGUUAGAGGAGAAGGAUUCAGUCUAAGAAUUAGUUCUGGAAGCACUGAGCUAUCAACAUCAUUCUGCCUAAAUUGUAAACAGAUGAAAAUUGUGUGUGUGUCUGUCUGUCUGUCUAGUAUUGGGGACCUGAAGCCAAGGCCUUUACUCAGAGCUGUAUCCCUAAGUUACCCAAGAUGGGCUCCAACUUGCCAUCUUCCUGCUUCAGCCUCCCAGAAUGCUGGGCUUAUAGAGGUGUGCCGUAUCCCUCUCAGUUUCUUUCUUUGGUUUCCUGAGACCACGUCUUGCUCCAUAGCCCAGGCUGACCUUGAACUCACUUUGUAGCCCAGGCUGAACUCGAAUCCUUAGCACUCCUCCUGUCUUAGCCUUCACGUGCAGCAGAAACUGGUUUUGAAUGGAAAUGGUCAUUUCUUUUACAGGAUAAAUAUUUCACAGUUUUUUUCAUGUUUGUAAGCCCCAAACACGUGCAUUAUAAAAAUGAUAAAAGCUCUAAUCAGACUUUUUAUUAUUUGGUAGCAACAAAAAAGAAAACACACAUAGAAAAUGCUAAAAGACUAAAGCAACUGAUUUCAUGAUCUAACCUAGUCGCUGAUGAAAGGAAAGGAUUUGGAACUAAAAGCAAAUAUACUAAGUUCUGGGGUCCCCGCCACCACCACCACCACCACCACCCCCACCUAGGAAAAAGAGCCCUUCUGCUGUUCCAGGUGUUCUGCUAACAUAUCUGCUUACAGAAACGAAAUCAAUCGUCACAUUUUUAGUGAUUAAUUAGAAUCGAAUGUAUAGAGAACACGCAAUAAUAACCCUCUGCAGUGCUGUGCGAGGUGACUGCGGGGGGAGAGGGAAGGCGAGGAAUUAGUGUUGCUAAUGAAUUUGCCGCUUCUUAGAUUCUCUCCUGAGUGUGUUUUACCUUUGCCAUAAAUGAAAACAUUUAAAUUUCUUUACAAUUGCAUUUGACUUAAUUAUCCCUCCCCCGAAACCCGCAAGCCCCCCAUUUUGCCUGCUUUUCUGUCCGAUACAAGGGACCGGGCUUCUCAGUUCAUAAAGACUUGUUUUUCCACAGGAUGUUCGCUAUGUACAGAAUGUUAAUAGCCGGCUGACUGUGAAUAGGCUCUGUGGCUCCUCUUGAAAUAUAGAAAAAUGGCCCGGACAUUAAAAAAGAUAAAAGGGAAAAGGGCAGUAAUGAAUUUAGAGGAAAAUGAACAUUAAUGGUACUAGCAUUACUCAUGUUCCACAUAACAAAUUAUUGGAAAUCUGUCAAGCACACCAAAUUAUCUACUUGUCGGCUGCUCAGGGCUCUCUGCAGCCAUCCAAAACCAGCAAAAGCAAGACAAUUUAAGCUAAUUUUACUAUUUAUAACAAUAGAACAGGCCAUUAAGAUAAAUUAAUGUCAUUAUCAAGUUUCUAUGAAAAUGACAAAUACCACUAUUUCGAGCAGCUUAGAGGCUGUUGACUAUAAUGAAAUCCGCUGUGCAGGUACUAAAGAGAAACACUCCAAGUAAUUAUUUUCUAGUAGCCUGUUUGUUUCGUGGCCAUUCAUUUGCUUUCACCACAAUUAGUUCUGUACACAAUAUGUUGGUAACUAAACAGUCAACACUACGCAGCAUUAGCACUAAUUGGGCCAUUAGGGCGCAGUUUCUAGCCUUUCCCUUCCUAAGAGACUCGGGAGUAAACAGAAUGGGGCCCCAGUGGCAGCACCAUGCCGGCACGGAUUGUCUUCGUUUAGAUCCGAGUGGGGUAAUAAAGUACACCAUGGCAAAGCUGUGCCCGCAGAACCCUGGCAUCAGCCUAUGAUCCCAAACCAGGCCAUGCCGGAGUGGGUCUGCUGGUUCUUCCAAACCGCCACUCUGGUGGCACCAGCGGUGACAGUGUAAGGCUGGGGCUCUGCCUUCCUCCAGCCCAGGAGUCUGUGGUUGGUUUGGACGCAACCAUUCUUCCACUGCCUUGACUCAGAUUCCUCAGCCACUCAAAGUCUUGUCAGGAAAGGCCCCAUCUCCCCGAGGGGGCUGUGCCGUGAUGGCCCCAAGUCAUCCAUCGACUUAGAACCAAAUGACUCAGAGACUCCAGAGGAAGUGGGCUUGGCUCGAGUCAGACCUGCAUGGGAAAGAGCCUGACAUGCGGUCAGCUACGAAACAGGGUCGGUCUUGGGACUUGUUACCUAAAAUAAGUUGUAGAAUUCCCAGAGGCAGCUGCUCGCCAGAGAGGUGUGACUGCUCAGCUGAUAAAGGGCUGAGCCCCAUCCGGCCUCUCACUAUGGUCAGCACAGACUGCUCAGAAUGGCCCGCUGGCCAGGCUCGCCCAUCCUUCCCCACUUCAGCCAAGGUGAGGGGGUGGAUGUUGGCCCUGUGGAUUCUUGGGAGAUCUGUAACAUAGGCAUGCAUAUUAGAUCUGCAGACUUUAGAGCAAACAGUUCAUAAGACCAGCAUUACCAAGAGGGGCCAAAUAAAGGAAAAAAAUAAAAGAGGACCUAGAGGAGAAGAGGUGUGGCAGCGGGAAGACGGCCUCACGCCUGAACUCAGAGUCUGCUCACUUCGUGACCGGAGGUCUUCCUGGGCAUCCACAGUACACACUCAGCACCAGGGACCUUGGAGACCAGUGCUUCCAUUUGAUGGCUAAGGAGCAGACAGCCAAAGGCCAGUCUCCAACGCCUGGACUCCUUAGGAUCUUGCACCGGACGUAUGUGCGUGCAGACAGUCUUAGCUCUCUCCUCGGGGCUAUCUCCUGCCUUCUUGUGUUAGACACCUGCAGAGCAGGGUCAGGCAUAGACCCUUUUCCCUGCUGGGACUAAAAAUGAGGGCUCCUGUGUAAGAGCCAUGCCUCCUGCCUCAUAGAGCUUCAGAGUCCCUCGAAGACAGAAGUGGCCCUCAGUGGCCCAUCAAAUCCACCUCGCAGGUUCCGUGGUGUCUUCCUGCCUCUGUAUCUCCAAUCCCACCCCCACUCCAAAGGGCCAGCUGUUAACCCCUAGUCACAGGCAUAAGCCCCUCAAGGAAAGGCAAGCAGGAUGCCUACCAUCCUUCUUAACUUUCCAAACCCUAGGAUGCAGGCAGCAUUCAAUAAACACAUGCUCUGCACAGAGCUGGAUGUGGGCUUUUUGGGGACAGUGACCUGGGAGGGAGUAAGUGGCAGGUGGUCACCAGUCAGGUAGGAGGGGCCACUGGGCCUCCUGAGAAUGCAGCCACCCUUGCUGUUAACAGCUCGGGUAGAGCUAUUUGUGAAGGGACCUCUCUCUGGUUCUGAGGUCUGUCACUGUGCUACUCACAGAGCCAGAGACCUCCAGGUCCAUUUGUCCCUGUUACAUGUGGGGGUGCUCAGAGACUUGGGGUGCAGGGCCUGCCAGCCUGUAUCCCAAGGGCCUCCUGGGCUGACUUCCAGUCUUCUGGCCAUGUGCCCACCGGGAUGGGAAUAUCUAAUUAGUAAAAUUACUACUAAUGGUUUUUAAAGGCAUGGUUUCUGGACAAAAUAUGUGGUAUGGUAAUUAUAUCCACAUUCAAAUGAUGAUGAUCAUCACGAUAAACCUUAACCCCAAAGAGUUCAAAGCACUCUGAAUAAUUAGAUUAAUUAUGCUCAGAGUUUCCCCAAGGGAUGGGCACUUCUGUAUGUCUACUUCCUGGUGAGGAAGCUGAAUGAUCCAAAGGCAGAAGUCUAGGGGACACUUUCUGUCCCCUUGGUUACGCCACGCUAUAGGCACUGGGUUAGGCACCAUGGUCCUCAUAAGUUUUCCCCCUGCCCUGUGAGGCAGGGUUCCUUAAUGAGGAAACUAAAGGUCGCAUGGUCACUAAUUGCAUCCUGGACUGCAGUGUGCCUGGUAGACGUGGCAGGUAAGACUGGAGUCAUUGGCCCUACCACUUUCUGCCCUUUGACACUUGGUCCAGCCUUGUAAACCCACUGAGCCUCAUCUUGCUCAUCUAUGAAAUGGGGUUGAGUGUUGCCCCAUCUGACCACUGCAAAUGCUAGGCAAAUUUAUUUCCAUCCAAGAGCCAGCACGGAGCCUCUCUGACCUGUUCUGGUUGAUUUCAGAGCUUCCAGUGCAGCGCUCGCCGAUUACCGGCGGUAACAACCUCAUUCUGCAAAAAUCACACUGGCUUUUACCGGUCUUUACAGGAAAAAAAUAGGUUAAUGCACUGCUUCCCCAUGCAUGUCAGUAGCCCAAUCUCUCUCUAAUGGCCUCAAAUUGCAGUUUUAAAACCCAAACCAUGAACUUAAACUCUCCCACAGACAUGCACAGGAGAAGCAUUCUCUGUUCUUCUGCACCCAGCGAAGUCCUGAGAGAAACAAGUCCUGCCUUCCUGUGAACAGCAGACUGAAAAGCAGGGGUGCUGGGGUGACUGUGACCCCAACCUGAGUUUGUCCUGCCUGAAGAUACCAGAUCCUCUGUGCCACUCAGGGUGGUGGUGUUGCCUUCAGUGCGUGGUUCCUCACGGAGAACUCCUGCUAAGCUAACAUCUUCUGCCUGCUCAGUCGUAGGCAGUGGAGACCCACAGUGGUCUACAAGGUAGACACAGUAGCAAGUUCUACAACUGAGGAAGCAGACUCUGAUGUGGCCAGUUACUUGCCCACAGCCACGUGACUGCUAAGUAGCAGGGACUGGACAGUAGCCAGGGCAUUCUGACUUCAGAAAUCGCAUUCCAUGUCUCUCUGCUGUCCUCAGGCUCGAUCCUAGCUGGAUUCUGGUCUUCCUCUCAUCUGGACUGACCUACUUGGUUGGGAUACAAGAUCUACCCUGUCAAAGAACUGGUGCUUUGGCUACACAAGGCAGGAAUGGUACUUGUCAUCUAACCCAUUUAUUGUGGAGAUUACACUCUCACUUGUUCUCUGUGAACCAUAAUAAAACUUCCCUCUUCAUAAA